GGUCGUUGCCUGCGGCAACGACCCGAAGGGCGAAGCGCGCAGCGCUGAGUAAUCCUUCCCCCACCACCA
rnacentral:sRNA from 1 species